GCACCCCCUUUCCUUCCUUGAUGGGUUGAGCAACGUUUGCCGUUUGCCCUGACUCUUAAUCAGGGUGUCCAGGGUUCGAGCCCCUGAGGGUGUACCA
rnacentral:tRNA from 1 species